rnacentral:sRNA from 2 species
GCAAAGAGCUGGUCGCGCAUUCCAGUGACUACCUGGAUGGACAACUGAACCUGCGCGGCCGUCUGGCGGUGUGCGCGCACCUGGCCUUGUGCGGGCAUUGCCGGCGCUUUAUCCGCCAGAUGCGCCUGAGUCAGGCGGUGCUGCGGCAGCUGGACAAACCCGUCAGCGCCGAGCUCGAUGCGCUCGCCAGCCGCCUGGCCGAGACCCGCCGCGAGCUGCCCUGAGUCUUCUUGCAGGCAUUGUC